UUUGGGGUAGGCGAGCGCCUUCCUCUUCGCCCCCCAAAGGCCACCUGAGCACAUCCUUCUGUCGUCUCCAGGGGUAGAGGGAACCACCUGGUAGCCUCUGCCGGCGCCAGCUCAGACCAGACUCACUGACGACCAGGAAGGAACCAUGCAGGCAUCGCAACAAGAGGAAGCAAGGAAUCUGGAGACGAAGAAAAUAGCAAGGAGGUGUUUGGACCUGCAGAGAGGGUUUAAAGAAAAUGCUUGUCCAACCCCUGCUCCUCAGUGGGGGAGGGGAGCGCUGUGGGGCUUUGGGGCAAGACCAUUCUUGCAGGCCUACUGAGGACAGGCUGGGCCGCACUGCAGGGGGUUUGGCAUCCCUAGCUCCCCAUGCACAAAUGCCCCUAGCACCUCCCCAUCUUUGGGACAACCCAAAUGCCACCACUUAUAUCCAAAUACUCCUGAGAUUGAGGUGCCUCUUUAGGUUGAAAACCACUGCUGGAUCAUCUCUUAAAAUAUAUUACAAAAAACAUGAAUUCGUUCCUUGAGAUGUAGCUGCUGCGAUAUGAAGAGUUUCAUGGUCAACAUCAUGCUGGGUUGGGGAAAUGGUAGGUUAAAAAGGGGGAAGAGAAUUUCUUUAUGACAGGACUUCUCAGAACCUUUAGUAUAGAAAUGUGUGUUUUGAAUGAUCAAAAUUCCCCAAUCUAACUGACAAUGGAAUUCUUUCUCCUUGGGACUCACAUUGGGGGGCCCACCUUGGAUAACUCUUGGCUAUACUGUAUCCCCCAGAGCACCCCGUGGUGACUUCUGUAUCUUCCACCAUGUGCAGCAGAGGGGUGAGCCCUCAGAAGGCCCUUAUAUUUUGACUGAACUGAACUCUGGCAAACCAGAAGGUGUGAAGCUACCAGGAAGGAGGCCAGAGGACCCGGAAACCACUGCAAAGAUGACCUCACAAAGGAACCAGUGUGGUGGGGCUUCUGGGGCGCUCACGGGGAUGCACCCUGCUUCUGAGAGGGAGCAGGCUGACAAGGCGCCUUGGGCUUGCACGGUUGGGGGAAACUAAAAUAGCCCCGGUGGUUGGAAGAGAAGUAUGUGUGGAUGAAAUUAUUCAAAUGCUGACAGAUGGAUUCGAGGUCUCCUUCCUGCUGGCCUGGCAGCCGCUGUGUAGAAAACCUUGCCUGGGAGAUGGAUCCUGGCAGCUCUGCCUGGCCAACUUUUUUGCUCACAGGUCACAGUCAAGCUUAUUAAACUUGGAUGACAGUAAACCAAUGACUAACUGGAUAAUUGAAGCCACAAGUCAGGAGGCCUGGGUGGAUCCCUCCUCUGGAAUCUCCAGUGGCCUGUUCCAUAGGCAAACCCCGCUCGCUCUCCCCACAGCAGAAAUGCUUCUGUGAAUUAAAAACCCUCUGUGUGACCUCCACCUCUUCUUGAAGUCACUUCUCCAUUUAUCCAUUGCUUCAUGCCCCCACCGCACCGUCCCUGUCCACCCCAAGGAAGGAGGAAAUCUAACCACACUCCCCCACACUGCUGCGUGGACAGGAACAUGACAAAAGAUUUCCAACUAAAACCAAAGUUACUCAGCAGAGCUUCCUGCCUGGCUGACGUGCUGGAGGACAUAAGCAGACUAACACAUAGCCCAAGCCAACCAGGAGACCUGCAGACUGAUGAGGAAGGCAUUGGAGACCAAGAAACCUGACAGAGUUCCAAACCACAAUGCAAAGUAAAAAAGAUGGGCGUCCUGUGAAGCGGGUCCCAAGCCUCAGUCCUGCCCUGGAUGUCACCAUCUGCCUCAAGCCUCCCUUGAGGGGCCUUGAAGAUGCUCAGCCCGGAGCCUCUGCUGGGGCCGGGUUUCCUGGCCGGCCCGGCCUCAGGGCGGCCGAGGAAGUGCUGUGGAGAGCUGAGUGAGGCAGACGGGCCACAAGGUGCCGGUGAGCACAGUGCGCACACCCACGGGGGACUGCAGGGAGCUGGCUGAGGACAGAGGAAGCCGCAGUGUGGCCCACCCCCACUGCAGAAGUGGCUUUCUCAUCCCCCUGAUUCGCCAAAUGCACUACAACUAAAAAAUACCGAUUGUGCCUAACUCUGAAGGCAGGCCCUCACCUGUGUGUAUGUCCUACCAGAGUUCUUUGUUUCCGGGGAGAAACAGAAGCUACAAACAUCACAUUCCUUUCUGGGUUGAAUUACUGCUGUUUAAAAAGUCAAAGGGAAAAAAGGAAAGUCGAUCCUUCUAUUAACAGAGAAAUUUUCAACGAGAACAGUGUGAUUUCUGGCCAGUUGCUGAUGGCCGGUUUUCCAGAAGAGAAUGAUGUGCUCAUGAGGCAGUUAUUAAGUGUGAUGACAACCACCAAUUUAGUGAAGCGUCAAUGGCUUGUUUGUUUAUUUUUGUUUAUUUUUAAAUAUUGAAAUAUUUAAUUUCAAUUAAAUUUGGGCGCCUGGGUGGCUCAGUUGGU